GACGAACGCUGGCGGCGUGCCUAAUACAUGCAAGUCGAACGAGAGCGACCGGUGCUUGCACUGGUCAAUCUAGUGGCGAACGGGUGAGUAACACGUGGGUAACCUGCCCAUCAGAGGGGGAUAACAUCCGGAAACGGAUGCUAAAACCGCAUAGGUCUUCGAGCCGCAUGGCUUGAAGAGGAAAAGAGGCGCAAGCUUCUGCUGAUGGAUGGACCCGCGGUGCAUUAGCUAGUUGGUGAGGUAACGGCUCACCAAGGCCGUGAUGCAUAGCCGACCUGAGAGGGUGAUCGGCCACAUUGGGACUGAGACACGGCCCAAACUCCUACGGGAGGCAGCAGUAGGGAAUCUUCCGCAAUGGACGCAAGUCUGACGGAGCAACGCCGCGUGAGUGAAGAAGGUUUUCGGAUCGUAAAACUCUGUUGUUAGAGAAGAACAAGUGCUAGAGUAACUGUUAGUGCCUUGACGGUAUCUAACCAGAAAGCCACGGCUAACUACGUG
rnacentral:rRNA from 1 species